rnacentral:rRNA from 1 species
GCGGGAUUCGUGUGCUAUAAUGCAAGUCGAGCGGAAGAUGGGAGCUUGCUCCCUGAUGUUAGCGGCGGACGGGUGAGUAACACGUGGGUAACCUGCCUGUAAGACUGGGAUAACUCCGGGAAACCGGGGCUAAUACCGGAUGGUUGUUUGAACCGCAUGGUUCAGACAUAAAAGGUGGCUUCGGCUACCACUUACAGAUGGACCCGCGGCGCAUUAGCUAGUUGGUGAGGUAACGGCUCACCAAGGCGACGAUGCGUAGCCGACCUGAGAGGGUGAUCGGCCACACUGGGACUGAGACACGGCCCAGACUCCUACGGGAGGCAGCAGUAGGGAAUCUUCCGCAAUGGACGAAAGUCUGACGGAGCAACGCCGCGUGAGUGAUGAAGGUUUUCGGAUCGUAAAGCUCUGUUGUUAGGGAAGAACAAGUGCCGUUCAAAUAGGGCGGCACCUUGACGGUACCUAACCAGAAAGCCACGGCUAACUACGUGCCAGCAGCCGCGGUAAUACGUAGGUGGCAAGCGUUGUCCGGAAUUAUUGGGCGUAAAGGGCUCGCAGGCGGUUUCUUAAGUCUGAUGUGAAAGCCCCCGGCUCAACCGGGGAGGGUCAUUGGAAACUGGGGAACUUGAGUGCAGAAGAGGAGAGUGGAAUUCCACGUGUAGCGGUGAAAUGCGUAGAGAUGUGGAGGAACACCAGUGGCGAAGGCGACUCUCUGGUCUGUAACUGACGCUGAGGAGCGAAAGCGUGGGGAGCGAACAGGAUUAGAUACCCUGGUAGUCCACGCCGUAAACGAUGAGUGCUAAGUGUUAGGGGGUUUCCGCCCCUUAUUGCUGCAGCUAACGCAUUAAGCACUCCGCCUGGGGAGUACGGUCGCAAGACUGAAACUCAAAGGAAUUGACGGGGGCCCGCACAAGCGGUGGAGCAUGUGGUUUAAUUCUAAGCAACGCGAAUAACCUUACCAGGUCUUGACAUCUUCUGACAUCCUAAAUAUAGGACGUCCCCUCGCGGGCAGAGGGACAGGUGUGGCAGGGUUGCAUCGUCUCUGCCCGUGGAUGUAGGGUAAUUCUCGUAUCUACCUAAACCUAUGUCUUAUCUGGACUCAUUUAUUUAGCUAUUCUUAUGUGUCUCCUGGUGCU